rnacentral:rRNA from 1 species
UAGGGAAUCUUCGGCAAUGGACGAAAGUCUGACCGAGCCACGCCGCGUGAGUGAAGAAGGUUUUCGGAUCGUAAAACUCUGUUGUUAGAGAAGAACAAGGACGUUAGUAACUGAACGUCCCCUGACGGUAUCUAACCAGAAAGCCACGGCUAACUACGUGCCAGCAGCCGCGGUAAUACGUAGGUGGCAAGCGUUGUCCGGAUUUAUUGGGCGUAAAGCGAGCGCAGGCGGUUUCUUAAGUCUGAUGUGAAAGCCCCCGGCUCAACCGGGGAGGGUCAUUGGAAACUGGGAGACUUGAGUGCAGAAGAGGAGAGUGGAAUUCCAUGUGUAGCGGUGAAAUGCGUAGAUAUAUGGAGGAACACCAGUGGCGAAGGCGGCUCUCUGGUCUGUAACUGACGCUGAGGCUCGAAAGCGUGGGGAGCAAACAGG